AUUGAACGCUAGCGGGAUGCCUUACACAUGCAAGUCGAACGGAGUGGCGAACGGGUGAGUAAUGUAUCGGAAUGUGCCCCGUCGCGGGGGAUAACUACGCGAAAGCGUAGCUAAUACCGCAUACUAUUGGAUCAGCCGAUAUAGGAUUAGAUAGUUGGGGGGGGAACGGCUUACCAAGGCGACGAUCCGUAGCUGGUUUGAGAGGACGACCAGCCACACUGGAACUGAGACACGGCCCAGACUCCUACGGGAGGCAGCAGUGGGGAAUUUUGGACAAUGGGGGAAACCCUGAUCCAGCCAUGCCGCGGGUGCGAUGAAGGCCUUCGGGUUGUAAAGCACUUUUAGCAGGGAGGCGGUACCUGCAGAAUAAGCACCGGCUAACUACGUGCCAGCAGCCGCGGUAAUUC
rnacentral:rRNA from 1 species